UUUUAAAUAUUAUAUAUGAAUUAUUUUUAUACAAUAUAUUAAUUACAAGAAAAAAAUUGUUUAACGAAAAAAAAAAAGUAGAAAUACAUGGACGAAUGAGAGAGAGAGAGAAGAAGUGGGAGCGGUAGUUAUCAGCAACAGCAGUGGUCACGGGUUUCUCUUGACCGAGCACCCCACAAAACCUCAAUUUGCAUAUCCCCCAC
rnacentral:lncRNA from 1 species